GAUCCUAGGUCAAUUAGACAAUCCAGAUCUGGUCAAACAGCACGACAGAUGCUGAUGGAGAGGGGGAAACCAGCCUGGACUACACCCUCUGGAGGCAUGUUUUAGCUUCCUAUUUCUAUACUAAUAUAAUGGAAUUAUCUGCUUCAAUAAAUCUCAAUUUCACAACGCCGAAUAUAUCCUUUUCACCACUUCAAAGCCUUUGAACUGCGUACCAGAGGACCUUUUUUUAUUUGUUUGUUUCACCACCAGUAAAAAUAGAGGAAGAAUCAAAUGACUUGAUUCUGGAUUAAGGAAGGAUCUUAUCUGAAUCAAAGGAAGGAUAUAUACUCUGCAGCACUUAGCUCACAGCAGAAUAUCAAGCUGGAUCACCUCAGUCACCAAGGGCUUUAUCAGUGACUAUGUUAAGGGAGCAGGAACAAGACUGCGUUCCACAUGGCCAAUCACAUUGGCAGGAGAGCGGGGCACCCACCGUAUGUGGGGAAGAGGUCUGGAUUCAAGCAUUGCUCACAAGAACAUGGUUGAGGAACAACUCAGAAAUCACAUGGGACUGGCCUCCAGCUUCAGAUCUCCAAAUAGGUAAAGGUCAAGGAUAAGGCAAGUGGAAGAACUGGAUUUCAGCCACUGGCAAAAUCUUAUGGGAUUGUUUUAGAACAGAGUCCAGAUCAGCUGCACUCCUGAAUGGAUCAGAGUCAGAAGGAGCCAGCACCAUAGAGUCAAGAGCAAAAUUGCUUCAAAUAAGCCUUAAGUAAAUGGAAGGAAUUUAGAAUC